rnacentral:rRNA from 1 species
CGCAAGCCUGAUGCAGCGACGCCGCGUGAGGGAUGACGGCCUUCGGGUUGUAAACCUCUUUCACCAGGGACGAAGCGCAAGUGACGGUACCUGGAGAAGAAGCACCGGCCAACUACGUGCCAGCAGCCGCGGUAAUACGUAGGGUGCGAGCGUUGUCCGGAAUUACUGGGCGUAAAGAGCUCGUAGGCGGUUUGUCGCGUCGUCUGUGAAAUUCUGCAGCUUAACUGCAGGCGUGCAGGCGAUACGGGCAGACUUGAGUACUACAGGGGAGACUGGAAUUCCUGGUGUAGCGGUGAAAUGCGCAGAUAUCAGGAGGAACACCGGUGGCGAAGGCGGGUCUCUGGGUAGUAACUGACGCUGAGGAGCGAAAGCGUGGGUAGCGAACAGGAUUAGAUACCCUGGUAGUCCACGCCGUAAACGGUGGGUACUAGGUGUGGGGCUCAUUUCACGAGUUCCGUGCCGUAGCUAACGCAU